rnacentral:lncRNA from 1 species
AAAACAUAUGAUAACAUGGAAUGCAUCACAUCACAGCUAAUCACAUCAAGGAUGAACCUGUCACCACUAGCCCUCUAUAUGGUCCAACUGUGCCAGAACAUAGAAUGGGUCCUGGUCUUUCCCUUACAUAUCAUAACAUAACAGUGUCCAACUGUGCCAGAACGUAGAAUGGGUCCUGGUCUUUCCCUUACAUAGUGCCAGCGAACGUAGAAUGGGUCCCACUGGUCUUACAUUCCGU